rnacentral:lncRNA from 1 species
CUGGUGACACCCUUUGCUACCUGGAGGGAGGCAGGAGCUCCACUGAGGAUGGGCUGGCUCCUGCACACUGUCACUGGUACACAUCUUUGCUGAAAUGCAUCUGUACGUGUCAGAAGCCUGGUGCCUCCUCCAAUGUAUUGUUAAUAUUCUGGUUAUCAUGCAAGAAGUCAUUGAUGAACAAGUUUAAGCAGUGUGCAAACAACGUUACCUGCUGAGAAGUGUUAAGGUUUUCGUGAAGAAUUCAGUACUGUCACAUUAUUACAGUCCUCAAACCUACUGUUUGAACUGCUUUCAUACAAAAAGCUGUUAUAAAAAUUAGGACGGAUUUAAGCAGAAGAUUAAACAAGGUUGAGCCUCAGACAAAGCC